rnacentral:sRNA from 1 species
ACAUUGUAGUAGGCUGAAAGCGACGCCUCCAGCGAUCCGUCGAGCGCUCUGUACUUGAUGCCGGUUUCGCCAUUGUAGGUGUUCUGCGGAUCGUAGGUGAAGGCGAUGUUCUCGGGC